UUAAAAAAUAAUUGGUAACCCUUGGAUUCUCCAACAGCCAUUUAAAAAAAAAUAUACCCGUUGCAUUCCUGAACGGUCAUUUUAAAUAAGAAAUGGUAACCGUUGCAUUCUCCAACGGUCAACCCUUAGAGAUUAUAAAUACAUGAACCAUAUACUUCAUUCUCAUCAUCUAGAGAAACAAUUCUUCCAUAUUCGAUAUCUCUCUUCACAACAUCAGUGAUGUCUUCAUCUUCUUCUGAACAUGAUGCUGAAGACACAGCCGCAACUACAGCUACAGCUGUAGCUGAAGCUGAAGCCUUUAUGGAAGAGUACAUGCGCCAAUACAUGGAGGAUGAUAGUAUCCAUCUACGUGUGCUUCGAGUAAUAGCGUCCAACACACGUCACACGAGAAGAUAUGUGCAACGAGAUCGAGAAGGAGCACACGAGCAACUCAUGCGGGAUUAUUUUGAUGUUAAUCCAACAUGGGGUCCCAACGUAUUUAGGCGGCGUUUUCGGAUGCGGAAAUAGUUGUUCACUCGCAUAGUGAAUGCUUUGGAAGCCCACAACACAUGGUUUCAACAAAGACCCGAUGCUACAGGGAAGAAAGGUUUCACGCCACUACAAAAAUGCACAAAUGCGAUUAGACAGGGAAAUAAAUCAUGGUUCGGUAGAAGGAUUCAACGAGUACCUCAGAAGGGGUGCUAGAGUACGUGACAAAACAAUACAUCACCAACUUCGAUUCGAUCUGGUUGAGCAUGUGUGGGCGCGAUUCGGCGAUGAUUAGUGUCAUAAUUAAUUUUUUUUAGUUUGUCAUUUGGUAUUUAAAUUAAGAUGUUGUGUGUAUUUAAAUUUGUGUUUUUAAUUUUAGUUGUGUGUUGUAAGAAAUUAAUUUUCAAUAAAAUGCGCGUUUGAAUUUUAA